rnacentral:rRNA from 1 species
CCUACGGGAGGCAGCAGUGGGGAAUAUUGGACAAUGGGCGAAAGCCUGAUCCAGCAAUGCCGCGUGAGUGAUGAAGGCCUUAGGGUUGUAAAGCUCUUUUACCAGGGAUGAUAAUGACAGUACCUGGAGAAUAAGCUCCGGCUAACUCCGUGCCAGCAGCCGCGGUAAUACGGAGGGAGCUAGCGUUGUUCGGAAUUACUGGGCGUAAAGCGUACGUAGGCGGUUAUUCAAGUCAGAGGUGAAAGCCUGGAGCUCAACUCCAGAACUGCCUUUGAAACUAGAUAGCUAGAAUCUUGGAGAGGUGAGUGGAAUUCCGAGUGUAGAGGUGAAAUUCGUAGAUAUUCGGAAGAACACCAGUGGCGAAGGCGACUCACUGGACAAGUAUUGACGCUGAGGUACGAAAGCGUGGGGAGCAAACAGGAUUAGAUACCCUGGUAGUCCACGCCGUAAACGAUGAUAACUAGCUGUUCGGGCUCUACGAGCUUGAGUGGCGCAGCUAACGCAUUAAGUUAUCCGCCUGGGGAGUACGGUCGCAAGNUUAAAACUUAAGAUAGUAGCGNGNGAGNGCGACGACGACGACGACGGAGGAGGAG